AUUGAACGCUGGCGGCAGGCCUAACACAUGCAAGUCGAACGAGUGGCGGACGGGUGAGUAAUGUCUGGGAAACUGCCCGAUGGAGGGGGAUAACUACUGGAAACGGUAGCUAAUACCGCAUCCCAUCAGAUGUGCCCAGAUGGGAUUAGCUAGUUGGUGGGGUAACGGCUCACCCAGGCGACGAUCCCUAGCUGGUCUGAGAGUAUGACCAGCAACACUGGAAAGGGGACACGGUCCAGACUCCUACGUGAGGCAGAGGUGGGGAAUAUUGCACAAUGGGCGCAAGCCUGAGGCAGCCAUGCCGCGUGUAUGAAGAAGGCCUUCGGGUUGUAAAGUACUUUCAGCGGGGAGGCGUUACCCGCAGAAGAAGCACCGGCUAACUCCGUGCCAGCAGCCGCGGUAAUAC
rnacentral:rRNA from 1 species